GACGAACGCUGGCGGCGUGCUUAACACAUGCAAGUCGAACGGAAAGGCCCUGCUUUUGUGGGGUGCUCGAAUGGCGAACGGGUGAGGAACACGUGAGUAACCUGCCCUUGACUUUGGGAUAACUUCAGGAAACUGGGGCUAAUACCGGGUAGGAGCUCCCGCUGCAUGGGGGGGGUUGGAAAGUUUCGGCGGUUGGGGAUGGACUCGCGGCUUAUCAGCUUGUUGGUGGGGUAGUGGCUUACCAAGGCUUUGACGGGUAGCCGGCCUGAGAGGGUGACCGGCCACACUGGGACUGAGCUACGGCCCAGACUCCUACGGGAGGCAGCAGUGGAGAAUAUUGCAUAAUGGGCUGAAGCAUGACGCAGCAACGCCGCGUGCGGGAUGACGGCCUUCGGGUUGUAAACCGCUUUCGCCUGUGACGAAGCGUGAGUGACGGUAAUGGGUAAAGAAGCACCGGCUAACUACGUG
rnacentral:rRNA from 1 species